rnacentral:misc_RNA from 1 species
GAACCAUAUGUCCUAUCAGGAGGUUAGCCUAUUUUCAUCUUGUAUGUUUGUGUUUUCCUACUAUUUUGGGAGUCAACUAUUUAUCCUUUAAACAUCACGAGCACAAGACUUGGGUCCACCUAACUUUCAUUCAAUGGCAAUAUGUUUCUUUAUUGUAUUGGCAAGUGUCCUUCCCCUUAGGAUGCCAUGGCAACUUUAAGACACAAGAAGAAUAUUUGGAGUGGAACCUUAGUCACCACCACACCAUCUCAGCCUAUGUAAUAACCAUGUGUAAAGUUCAGUUUGGACAUAAGAUGAUUUGUUUGAACUUUUGAUAAAAUUAUGUUUUUCAGCUCAACUAGAAGAACUGUUCGUUUUCAGAAGUUAUUGAUUACUGUGCUUUUGAUAAAUAAUAACCUGUGUUUUGUUCAAAUACAAAACUUAAAUAGGAAAGGACAAAUCUGUUGUCU